GAAGGUAGCGGGAGAUUUGUAGAGAGGAUGGGUGGGGUUCGACCUAAGAAAAGAAGGUGCGUGCGCACUGAGCAAAUAUAUUUGCACACGUACAGAGAGGCCUCUCUUCUUCGUCUUUUUCUACUCAUUCCUCCGUCAUUG
ensembl:ncRNA T09B4.17 ncRNA